GCCUGGGUGGCUCAGUCGGUUGAGCAUCUGGCUUCGGCUCAGGUCAUGAUCUCACAGUUUGUGAGUUUGAGCCCCGCAUCGGGCU
rnacentral:tRNA from 1 species